UGAAGGAGUAAAGGAGAGCCAUGGCCCCUGCCAGGCAGAGGAGGAGGCAUGAGACAGCGGAGCAGAGUGACAGGGCGGAGGCUGCAGAUAGCCCAUACAGCAAGCAACGCCUUCGUCAAGCUGUAAAGAGGAAGGCCACCUAUUGUUAAAG